AUGGCAGUGAGCAUUAUGAUUGCGGUUAGCUUCGGCCUAACAGGACCUGAAAAGGACUGUCAUA
rnacentral:tRNA from 1 species